GAACAAAAAAUCCUCCGAAUGAUUAUAACUUAGACCUACAAGUCAAAGUAAAUAUAUUAUCUUAUUGACCCAAAAAUAUUUUGAUCAACGGACCAAGUUACCCUAGGGAUAACAGCGCAAUCCUAUUUAAGAGUUCAUAUCGACAAUUAGGGUUUACGACCUCGAUGUUGGAUCAGGACAUCCCAAUGGUGCAGAAGCUAUUAAUGGUUCGUUUGUUCAACGAUUAAAGUCCUACGUGAUCUGAGUUCAGACCGGAGCA
rnacentral:rRNA from 1 species